CUGAUUUUAAAAGAAAUUAAAACAUUUUCAUGGGUCCCUCUGAGCACGAUUGGCUCUGAGCACUGUGGUUUAAUUGUGCCAGAUAGAUAUGUAAGCCCUGGGUCUAGGACCUUCCAAAAGGUUAGGACCCCUGUGAAUUUAAUUUUAUAUGUAUUUUUUAUUACUUUUUUUGUUUGUUUGUUUUUGGUUACAGGCUUUAGUUAGUUCUGCUCCCGGUGAAUUUUAAAACGUCACGUUUGUGGCUUUAAGAGAGGCCCUCUUGCAAAUUCCCUGGCGGUCCUCUGGUUCCGACUCUGCCCUUUCAUUGACGAGGGCCUAGGUUCAAGCCCUGCUGAGGGUACUAAGAUCCCGCUGGGUGACUCGGCCAAAAUAUAUAUAUAUAUAUAUAUAUAUAUAUAUGCGCCAUCAUGCUGUCUGUCCCUCUUCCAACCACAAAAGCGUCCCCAAACCCCUCCAGGGUGGCCAUGAUUCCCACUCUCACCCCUGUCCCCAAUUAUCCCAUCCCUUUUGUUUUUUUCCUGGAAAACAUUAAUUAUCCAUUGAGAUGCACUAAAUUGUGGUGCUUUCUCACUAGACUGUGGGUCCCCGCAGACAGGGUUUUUGUCCCUGCGGAGCCCCGUGGUGGUCUCCCGGGCUCGGGCCUCCCAGAGGUCCCCAAAUACGGUCUACGUGGCAGCCGGGGAGGUAGAGAGGACGUCGCUGGGGCGCCUCAGGGACUUUCCCUGUCCCGCUGGGAAAGCGUGAUCUCACCCGGUUCCUCCCUCCUCGCCGGACGCGGAAGAGGCGGGCGGAGGCCGUGCGCCUGGGGCUACAGGCGCGCCCUCCGCGCCCUGCCAUCCGCGGGCAUCGCCACCAGGCCAUCAGGCCACCAACAUCCGCCCCGAGGACCCGAGCAGUGCGGCCGGUCGCCCCCGCGACCCCAGCUAUUUCAGAUUGACUUCUCACACUGUUGCUGGUGUAGUCGGGAGUUGGUAAGUUUCAUUUUUCCUUUUUAG
rnacentral:lncRNA from 1 species